GACGAACCGUGCGAACGUUGUUCGGAAUCACUGGGCUUAAAGGGCGCGUAGGCGGCUGCGCAAGUCCGGGGUGAAAGCCCCCAGCUCAACUGGGGAAGUGCCUUGGAUACUGUGCAGCUCGAGCGAGGUAGGGGUCGUGGGAACUUCCGGUGGAGCGGUGAAAUGCGUUGAUAUCGGAAGGAACGCCGGUGGCGAAAGCGCACGACUGGACCUUUUUCUGGACGCUGAGGCGCGAA
rnacentral:rRNA from 1 species